GUUGCCUGCAUUUGCGAAAGACCGGGACGUGUAAUGUUGACAAAACUGCUUUGUUUUACACACCAAAAUUUCUUGUCAUUUCUUGCAUUUCCCCAUUUCUCUUCCUUGGAAAAAAUCGUCGUCAAAGCCUUCGCGUAUUGAAGAAAACCCUAAUUCGAUCCGAUACUCCUAAAAUUAAUCUCUGAAAAUGGCUUUUAUUGGACCACCUCCAUCACUCUCAAUUUGCAUGACUCAAACAGAAUAAUCAGGGCCCCGUUUCUAUUUUUAGCUGGAGAGGAACCGUUUCGAUCAUCGCCAUGUUUGAAGCUCACGUUCUGCAUUUGCUUCGAAGAUACUUGGGGGAAUAUGUUCAUGGUCUCUCACCAGAGACUUUAAGAAUCAGUGUUUGGAAAGGUGAUGUUGUCCUCAAAGAUUUAAAACUGAAGGCAGAGGCACUAAACUCUUUAAAUCUACCAGUAACUGUCAAAGCUGGUUUUGUGGGCACCAUAACUCUGAAGGUUCCUUGGAAAAGUUUAGGUAAAGAACCUGUAAUUGUUCUCAUUGAUCGUGUAUUUGUUCUUGCUCACCCAGCUCUUGACGGUCGGACUCUUAAGGAGGGGGAUAGGGAAAAACUUUUUGAAGCUAAAAUUCAACAAAUUGAGGAGGCAGAAUCAGCAACUCUAGAAGCGAUAUCUGGGUCAAAGCUGGGAAGUCCUCCUCCUGGAAAUUCGUGGCUUGGUUCUCUAAUUGCUACAAUUAUUGGAAAUCUGAAGGUAUCUAUCAGCAAUGUACAUAUCAGAUAUGAGGAUUGUGUCAGUAAUCCAGGCCAUCCUUUUGCUUCUGGUGUUACCCUGGCUAAGCUUGCUGCUGUUACCAUGGAUGAACAAGGAAAGGAGACCUUUGAUACCAGUGGUGCUCUGGAUAAGUUGCGGAAGUCUUUGCAACUGGAGAGGCUUGCUAUAUAUCAUGAUUCGGAUAACCUGCCUUGGAAGAUGGAUAAGAAAUGGGAGGAUCUUAGUCCCAAAGAAUGGAUUGAGGUAUUUGAAGAUGGUAUAAAUCAACCUGCUGCUGAAUGUGAAGUGGUGUCUAAGCGGGCUAUGAAUCGCAAUUACUUGGUGUCACCAAUCAAUGGAGUACUUAAGUAUCAUCGACUUGGAAAUCAAGAAAGAAAUGAUCCUGAUAUUCCUUUUGAGAAGGCUUCUCUUGUCUUAAGUGAUGUCUCCUUAACUAUUACAGAGGCACAAUAUCAUGAUUGGAUAAAACUUUUAGAAGUUAUUUCAAGAUAUAGGACUUAUGUUGAAAUUUCCCAUUUAAGACCUGUGGUGCCAAUAUCGAAGGAGUCUUAUUUCUUGUGGUGGCAAUAUGCAGCUCAGGCUGCACUGCAACAGAGGAAAAUGUGCUAUCGGUUCUCGUGGGAUCGAAUUUGGCAUAUGUGCCAGCUUCGUCGACAUUACAUUCAGUUGUAUGCCAGUUUGCUACAACAGUCAUCAAGUGUUGAAAACUCUGAAGUUAGAGACAUUGAGAAAGAUCUUGACUCAAAAGUAAUUCUUCUAUGGAGGUUACUUGCACAUGCCAAGGUUGAAUCUGUAAAGUCAAAGGAAGCAGCUGAACGGAGAAGGCUUCAGAAGAAAAGUUGGUUUUCAUUGAGAUGGCGUACGCAAUCUGAAGAUGCGUCUGAUGGGAAUGCUUUGGAUGGAUCACAGUUAACAGAGGAAAGGCUGACUAAAGAAGAAUGGCAGGCAAUCAAUAAGUUACUCAGUUACCAGCCAGAUGAGGACUUUAUGUCACAUUCGGGGAAAGACUUGCAGAACAUGAUCCGGCAUUUGGUAACUGUAUCUAUUAGUCAAGCUGCUGUGAGGAUCAUCAAUAUAAACCAGACAGAGAUUGUUUGUGGUAGAUUUGAACAACUUAAUGUGUCAGCGAAGUUUAAACAUCGCAGUACCCAUUGCGAUGUAAGGUUAAGAUUCUAUGGUGUGUCAGCCCCUGAAGGUUCAAUUGCUCAGAUUCAAACUAGUGUCUGCAGUGAGCAAAAGGUUAAUGCAUUAACUGCUAGUUUUGUACGCUUACCAGUAGGAGAGAAUGUUGAUUGGAGGUUGUCGGCUACAAUUUCCCCCUGCCAUGUUACGGUUUUGAAGGAAAGUUGUGAUCGCUUUUUUGAGUUUGUAAAGAGGAGUAAUGCAGUUAGUCCAACUGUUGCUUUGGAAACUGCUACCGCAUUGCAGACAAGGAUCGAAAAAGUGACUCGUAGAGCGCAGGAGCAGUUUCAAACAGUGUUAGAGGAACAAAGCAGAUUUGCUCUGGACAUUGAUCUUGAUGCUCCAAAAGUUAGGAUUCCUCUAAGGACACAUGGCUCUUCCAAAUAUGACAGCCAUUUUAUUUUGGAUUUUGGUCAUUUUACAUUGCAGACCGUGGAGACUCAGUCUGAUGAACAGAGGCAGAAUAUCUAUUCUCGUCUCUACGUAUCUGGAAGGGAUAUUGCUGCUUUUUUUACAGAUUGUGGUUAUGAUUGCCAGAACUUCACUUUGGUCAAACCAAAUUCUAGUAAUCAAUCAAUGGUGAUGUCUCCUGGGUUGGAGAAGGUGGACAAUUUCUAUUCUCUUAUUGACAGGUGUGGAAUUGCAGUAGUUGUUGAUCAGAUUAAAGUUCCUCACCCAAGUUACCCAUCAACUCAUGUGUCUGUUCAAGUGCCAAAUCUUGGCAUUCACUUUUCACCAGUGAGAUACUGCAGACUUAUGGAACUGUUGGACAUAGUAUCUGUUGCUAUGGAUCCCUGUGUUCAGCCUGGUGUUGUUGAUUUCCACGCUGGACUGGCUCCUUGGAGUGCUGCAGAUCUUGCCACUGAUGCUAAAAUCCUAGUUUGGCGGGGUAUUGGAAACUCCGUUGCUUCAUGGCAGCCCUGUUUUGUUGUAUUAUCUAGAUUCUAUCUUUAUGUCUUCGAAUCUGAAAAAUCUCAGACCCACCAGCGGUACUUGAGCAUGGCUGGAAGACAGGUGCAUGAGAUUCCAUUGACAAAUAUUGGUGGGUCUCCAUUUUGUAUUGCUGUGAGUCCAAGAGGGAUGGACGCUCAGAAGGCUUUGGAGUCUUCAGGUACCUGGGUUAUUGAAUUCCGAGGGGAGGAAGAGAAGAUCACUUGGUUGAGAGGGCUUAUACAAGCCACAUAUCAAGCUUCUGCUCCUCCCUCUGUUGAUUUGCUUGGAGAAAAAAGUGAUGAUAUAAGUGAAUCUGAUGAUCCUCAAACAACGAAUUCAAAGGCUGCAGACCUUGUUAUUUAUGGGGCAGUUUUGGAAACAAAGUUAUGCAUAUAUGGAAAGACAGGAGAGGGUGUUGCAGAGAAACUAGAAGAGUUACUGAUUCUUGAGGUUCUUGCUAGUGGCGGAAAGGUAAAAAUGAUUAGUUGUGGGAGUGACCUAAUGGUGAAGACAAAGCUGCAUUCUUUGAAAAUUAAGGAUGAGCUUCAAGGUCGUCUGUCGGGCAAUCCAGAGUACCUAGCCUGCUCUGUGCUGAAAAAUGACAGUUCACUUGAAUCCCAUCGAACAUAUGAUCUGCAUGGAAAUGAGAUGUCUUGGGUGCACCCAGAUGAUGAUGAUACUUUUAAGGAUGCUCUGCCUGAAUUUAUGUUUCUGACAGAUUCUGAUGCUCUUUCACAAUAUAUGGAUAUGAAGGAUACCUUUGGAUUUGAGUCUGCUAAAGUGUUAAUUCAUGAAAAUGAUUUGGUACAAGAAAAGGGACUUUCUGGAGAGAUAUUUUAUGAAGCUCAAGGUGGUGAUGAUUUGGAUUUUGUAUCUGUUACUUUCUCAAGGAGGGGUUCUGGUUCACCUGUUUAUGAUGGUAUAGACACACAGAUGAGUAUUUGCAUGUCCAAGCUGGAGUUUUUUUGCAACAGACCCACCCUAGUUGCUUUGAUUGGUUUUGGCUUUGAUCUAGGCUCUAUGAGUUAUGCAGCUAGUGUUACAGAUGUAAAUGAAGCUUUGGAUGAUAAAUCUUUGAUGAGCAAAGAAAAGGCUGAAGAAAGUGGUCGUAUUGAAGGGUUGCUGGGGUAUGGUAAAGCUCGUGUUGUAUUUUAUUUGAACAUGAAUGUUGAUAGUGUCACUGUGUUUCUUAACGAGGAGGACGGAUCUCAGCUGGCAAUGUUUGUGCAGGAAAGUUUCCUGUUAGAUCUUAAGGUCCAUCCUGCAUCCCUUUCUAUUGAAGGCACAUUGGGAAAUUUGAGACUCCGAGAUAUGUCACUUGGAACAGAUGACUGCUUGGGUUGGCUAUGUGAUAUACGUAACCCAGGGGUUGAAUCCCUUAUAAAGUUCAAAUUCAAUUCUUUCAGUGCUGGAGAUGAUGACUAUGCAGGGUAUGAUUACAGCUUGUGUGGGCGACUUUCUGCUGUUCGAAUUGUUUUUCUUUAUAGGUUUGUUCAGGAGAUAACAGUUUAUUUUAUGGAACUUGCCACCCCACAUACUGAAGAAGUAAUAAAACUUGUUGAUAAAGUUGGUGAUUUUGAGUGGUUAAUUCAGAAAUCUGAAAUUGAUGGGGCUGCUGCUUUGAAACUGGAUCUCACACUUGAUGCUCCGAUAAUUAUUGUUCCAAGGAAUUCAAUGAGCAAAGACUUCAUUCAACUCGAUGUGGGUCUGCUAAAGGUCACAAAUGAAAUAAGUUGGCAUGGUUUUCCUGAAAAAGAUCCUUCAGCUGUUCAUCUUGAUAUUCUUCAUGUUGAGAUUCUUGGAUUAAACAUGUCUGUGGGAAUUGAUGGUUGUAUUGGUAAACCACUGAUUCGUGAAGGCAGAGGACUUGAUGUUUGUGUUCGAAGGAGUUUGAGGGAUGUUUUUAGAAAAGUCCCAACGUUUGCUUUGGAAGUUAAGGUUGGUUUUUUGCAUGGUGUAAUGUCUGAUAGAGAAUAUGAUGUUAUUCUGAAUUGUACAAUGAUGAAUUUAAAUGAAGCCCCAAGGCUCCCUCCAAGUUUCCGUGGCAGCAAAUCUGGUUCUAAAGAUACAAUGCGGCUACUAGUUGAUAAGGUCAACAUGAAUGGUCAGAUGCUUCUAUCACGGAGUGUAACCAUUGUGGCAGUUGAAGUCAAUUAUGCUUUGUUGGAGUUGUGUAAUGGCAUUCAUGAGGAAUCACCUUUAGCUCGUAUAGCUCUAGAAGGUCUUUGGGUAUCAUACCGCAUGACUUCAUUGUCAGAAACAGAUUUGUAUGUGACUAUUCCCACAUUUUCUAUUCUGGAUAUCCGCUCCAAUACAAAGCCUGAAAUGCGCCUCAUGCUUGGAUCGUCUACUGAUGCUUCCAAACAAGCUUCCACUGGAAACUUUCCAUACUUCUUAAACAAGAACAGCUUUAGCAGAGUGAAUUCGGCAGCUGGUCCUGACUUGGAUGUACCAAUUUCAACAAUGUUCUUGAUGGAUUUCAGAUGGCGAUUGUAUUCCCAAUCAUUUGUGCUUCGAGUUCAGCAGCCUAGAGUACUUGUUGUGCCAGAUUUCCUUCUUGCUUUAGGUGAGUUUUUUGUGCCAGCGUUGGGGGCAAUAACUGGAAGGGAAGAAACAAUGGACCCGAAGAAUGAUCCAAUAAGUAAAAACAAUGGCAUUGUGCUUUCUGAUAGUAUUUAUAAACAGAAUAAAGAUGUUGUGCACUUGUCACCGAGUAGACAGUUGGUUGCUGAUACCCAUGGCAUUGAUGAGUAUACAUAUGAUGGUUGUGGAAAGACUAUCUUUUUAAGUGAAGAUAAGGAUGUGAAGGAGUUGCACUCUGCAAGAUUUCGUCCUAUUGUGAUCAUCGGACGUGGUAAGAGGUUGCGAUUUGUCAACGUAAAAAUUGAGAAUGGUUCUCUUUUGAGAAAGUAUACGUACUUGAGCAAUGAUAGCAGCUAUUCAGUCUCACCAGAAGAUGAUGUUGACAUAUUGUUGAUGGAUAAUUUAAGUUCCGAUGAUGACAAGAAGAUUGUAGAAAAUAUGGAGUUAAUAAACACUCCAAAGACUACUUCAUAUUUACAAGACCCAAAUCUUAUGCAGAGUUUCACUUUUGAAGCACAGGUUGUUUCUCCAGAGUUCACAUUCUUUGAUGGCACCAAGUCUUGUCUGGACAAUUCAUCUUACGGUGAAAAGCUUUUACGCGCAAAAAUGGAUUUGAACUUCAUGUACGCAUCAAAGGAAAAUGACACCUGGAUUCGUGCCCUGGUGAAGGAUCUGACUGUUGAGGCUGGUUCUGGUCUUAUCAUUCUGGAUCCACUGGAUAUUUCGGGGGGAUAUACAUCCAUUAAAGAGAAAACAAACAUGUCUCUGAUGUUAACCGAUAUUUGUAUUCAUCUAUCAUUAGGUGCAAUAUCUCUUCUACUUAACCUUCAGAACCAAGCAGCUGCGGCCUUACAAUUUGGAAAUGCAAUUCCUCUGGCUCCCUGCAUCAAUUUUGACAGAAUUUGGGUGUCACCUAAAGAGAAUGGAUCUCAUAACAAUCUUACCAUUUGGAGGCCACAAGCUCCAUCAAACUAUGUUAUAUUGGGAGAUUGUGUGACAUCCAGGCCAAUUCCUCCUUCACAGGCAGUACUAGCAGUAAGUAAUACAUAUGGACGUGUGCGGAAGCCAGUGGGUUUUAAUCUUAUUGGCUUUCUCUCUCAUGUCCUUGAAUUGGAAGGAGUGGAUGGCCAUUCUGACGUUGACAGUGAUUGUUCCCUUUGGAUGCCAGUUGCGCCUCCAGGGUAUACUUCAAUGGGUUGUGUGGCAAAUAUAGGAAAACAUCCACCACCAAAACAUGCUGUUUAUUGCCUGCGCUCUGACCUUGUAACGUCUACAACUUAUUCAGAAUGCAUGUUGAAUGCACCAUCGAAUGAGCGUUUUACUUCUGGAUUUAGCAUCUGGCGUUUGGACAAUGUUCUAGGAUCAUUUAAUGCCCAUUCUUCAAUUGCGUGCCCUUCCAAAGAAAGUAGUUUUGACCUGAGUCAUCUUCUACUCUGGAAUUCUGUUUGGUCCUAUGCAUCUCUUAAGGAAUCUGUUCCUGGAUUUGCUGUGGACAAUGAUCAUGCUAUUCAGCAAACAAGUAACCAGAGUGCUAGUUCAUCUGGGUGGGACUUUCUCAGGUCAAUGUCAAAAGCAACUAGUUGUUACAUGUCAACCCCUCACUUUGAGAGAAUAUGGUGGGACAAGGGCUGCGACCUCCGUAGACCAGUGUCAAUUUGGCGGCCUAUUUCACGUUGUGGUUAUGCCAUAGUGGGUGAUUGCAUAAUGGAAGGCUUAGAACCACCUGCUUUGGGCAUAAUUUUUAAGUCUGAUGAUCCAGAAAUCUCUGCAAAGCCUGUGCAAUUUACGCAAGUUGCCCAUAUAACUGGGAAAGGUUUUGAUGAAGUUUUCUUCUGGUACCCAAUUGCCCCCCCUGGUUAUGCUUCCUUGGGAUGUAUAGUUUCCAGAACAGAUGAACCCCCAUGCACGGAUUUGUUUUGCUGCCCAAGGAUGGAUCUUGUUAACCCAGCCAACAUUCUUGAAGUGCCUAUUUCCAGAUCUUCAAGCUCAAAGGCAUCUCUGUGCUGGAGCAUUUGGAAAGUUGAAAAUCAGGCUUGUACUUUUCUUGCAUGCUCUGAUACAAAAAAGCCAUCAACACAGUUGGCUUACACUAUUGGUGAUUCUGUGAAGCCAAAGACACAGGAAAAUGUAAUUGCUGAGGUUAAACUAAGAUACUUCUCUCUAACUGUUUUAGACAGCCUGCAUGGAAUGAUGACACCGCUAUUUGAUAUGACUAUUGCCAAUAUCAAGUUGGCAACACAUGGUUGGCUGGAGGCUAUGAAUGCAGUCCUCAUUUCAUCUAUUGCUGCUUCAACCUUUAACAUGCAGUUAGAAGCAUGGGAGCCCUUGGUGGAACCAUUUGAUGGCAUAUUCAAGUUUGAAACAUAUGAUACCAAUGUGAAUUCACCAGCAAGACUUGGGAAGAGGAUGCGCAUUGCCGCUACCAACAUUGUGAAUAUAAAUGUCAGUGCAGCAAAUCUUGAUACUUUAAUAGAAACCAUUCUUUCAUGGAGACGACAGUUAGAACUUGAACAGAAAGCAACCAAGCUGAUUGAGGCUCGUACUCAUUCUGGACAUGAAGAUCUGGCCUUUUCUGCCCUGGAUGAAGAGGAUUUACAAACUGUGAUAGUAGAGAAUAAACUUGGGAGUGAUCUGUUCCUGAAAAGGAUUGAGCAGAAUUCAAAGGUGGCUGACCAACUUCAUCAUGGUGACUGUGCUUCAAUUUGGGUUCCACCUGCUAGGUUUUCAGACAGGUUAAAUGUUACUGAGGGAUCUAGGGAAACACGCCAUUAUGUUGCUGUGCAGAUUCUUGUUGCCAAGGAUUUACCUAUAAUCGAAGAUGGUAAUAGCCAUAACUUCUUUUGUGCUUUGCGCCUUGUCAUUGAUAGUCAAGGAACAGAUCAGCAAAAACUUUUCCCGCAGAGUGCGAGGACAAAAUGUGUGAAGCCCUUAGUUUCAGACAUGGAGUACCCAAAUAAAGGCAUUGCAAAGUGGAAUGAACUUUUCAUAUUUGAAGUUCCCUGUAAGGGGGUUGCUAAAUUGGAGGUGGAAGUAACAAACCUUUCAGCAAAAGCUGGUAAAGGUGAAGUUGUUGGUGCGCUUUCUUUUCCUGUUGGACUUGGCGCCAAUAUUUUAAAGAAGGUAUCUUCAGCAAGGAUGCUGUCUCAGCGAAAUGAUGUUCAGAAUAUUGAAUCAUAUCCAUUGAGGAGAAAGUUCAACAAUGUUGAAGAUAAGGAUGACCAUGGGUACCUCUCUGUCUCCACUUCUUAUUUUGAGAGGAAUACAGCUACAAAUUUUCAAAGAGAUGCAGAAAGGAAGGAUGCUUCUGAUAAGGAUAUAGGUUUCUGGGUUAGGCUUGGAACAGAGGGUUCAUGGGAGAGCAUUCGUUCGCUGCUUCCGCUGUCAGUAGUCCCCAAAUCAUUACGAAGUGAAUUUAUUGCAAUGGAAGUUGUCAUGAAAAAUGGAAAGAAGCAUGCUAUUUUCAGGGGUCUUGCCACAGUUUUAAAUGAUUCUGAUGUUAAUUUGGAUAUUUCAUUAUGUCAUGCGUUAACGAUUCAGGAUUCAGGAUCAAGCAGUCAUGGCAUAGUGGUAGAAGAAAUCUUUGAAAAUCAGUGCUAUCAACCAAUUUCAGGUUGGGGCAAUAAGUGGUCUGCUUUGCGAGGUAAUGAUCCAAGGUGCUGGAGCACCAAUGACUUCUCAUAUUCAUCAAAGGAUUUUUUUGAACCUCCCCUUCCCAAUGGGUGGAAAUGGAUAUCAACAUGGACUAUUGAUAAAUCCCAAUUUGUUGAUGAAGACGGCUGGGCUUAUGGUCCUGACUAUCGAAGUUUGAGAUGGCCCCUUACUUCAAAAUCACAUAUUAAAUCUGGUCAUGAUGUUGUGCGCAGGAGGCGUUGGAUCCGAACAAGACAACAAAUAGCUGAGCAAGACAAAAGUUGCUUAAAGAGCGACUUCACUACCAUAAGCCCUGGAUGUUCUACUGUUUUACCAUGGGGAAGUACAUCUAAAGAAUCCAAUCAGUGUUUACGUGUUCGUCCUUGUGUUGAUUAUAGCCAGCCCCCAUACUCUUGGGGUCAUUCCAUUGUUGUUGCUGUCAGUUCUAGUUUUGCAAGUGGAAAGGACCAGCCUUUCUUCGAUCAAGAUUCACUAUAUAGACAAAAUACUUUGCCACAAGGAAGCAAAGUGCCCAAUUUUGCUCUUAAGUUAAGUGAACUUGAGAAGAAGGAUGUACUUCUUUGUUGUUGCCCUACUGUUGGAAGCAGACAAAUUUGGCUCAGUGUAGGGGCAGAUGCAUUGGCCCUUCACACAGAGCUCAAUCAACCUGUUUAUGAUUGGAAGAUCUCUGUUAAUUCUCCCUUGAAGUUGGAAAAUCGACUGUCCUGUCCAGCUGAAUUCACAAUAUGGGAAAAAGCAAAAGAAGGGAACUAUACCAAGCGAGAGCAUGGUAUCAUAUAUUCACGCAAAAGUGCUCAUAUAUAUUCAGUGGACAUCCGAAGACCUAUUUACCUUACAUUUCUUGUACAGGGUGGUUGGGUUCUGGAAAAGGACCCGGUUCUUAUUCUGGAUCUUUCUUCCAAUGCUCACAUUUCACCAUUCUGGAUGUUCCACCAGCAAAGUAAAAGGAGAUUGCGUGUGAGCAUUGAACGUGAUAUGGGAGGAACCAGUGCUGCACCAAAAACGAUAAGGUUUUUUGUUCCAUAUUGGAUCAUUAAUGAUUCAUCUCUGCCUCUAGCUUAUCAAGUGGUAGAAAUUGAAGGUUCAGAUAGUGCAGACAGGGAUUCACACUCGCUAUCUAGAGCAGUUAAAUCUGCUAGAACAGUUUUGAGGACCCCUUCGUACUCAAUGGAAAGGAGAUAUUCUGGUCUGAGGAGAAACAUUCAAGUGCUUGAAGCUAUUGAAGACACCAGGCCAAUAGCUAGCAUGCUUUCCCCACAAGAUUCUGCUGGUCGUAGUGGUGUUACUCUGUUUCCAUCACAAAAAGAUACAUAUGUGUCCCCAUGGGUUGGCAUUGCUGUGGCUAUUCGUGAUUCUGAAAUUUACAGUCCUGGUAUUUCUCUUCUAGAGCUUGAAAAGAAGGAGCGUGUUGAUGUAAAAGCAUUCAGUUCAGAUGGGUCGUACUAUAGGCUUUCAGCUGUAGUGAAUAUGACCUCCGACAGAACAAAGGUCAUUCAUUUUCAGCCGCACAUGCUGUUUGUCAAUAGGGUUGGUUUUAGUCUUUGCCUGCGGCAGUGUGAAUCUCAGGCAGUGGAAUGGAUCCAUCCCUUUGAUCCUCCAAAACCCUUUAGAUGGCAGAGUUCUACAAAAGUUCAGCUGUUGAAGUUGCAGGUAGAUGGAUACAAGUGGAGUACACCUUUUAGUGUUUCUAGUGAAGGUGUGAUGCGUGUUUCUUUGAAAAAUGACACUGGAAGUGGUCAGUUAUUUUUUAAGGUUGAAGUUAGGAGUGGAACAAAGAGCUCUCGCUAUGAGGUUAUCUUCCGCCCAAAUUCCUCAUCAAGUCCUUACAGGAUUGAAAAUCAAUCAAUUUUUUUACCACUUCGCUGCCGGCAAGUGGAUGGUACUAGUGACUCCUGGCACUUUCUUCUUCCCAACACUGCUGUUUCUUUCUUAUGGGAAGAUCUUGGUCGACGACAAUUGCUGGAAAUCCUUGCAGAUGGGACUGACCCAUCAAGGUCAGAAAAGUACAACAUUGAUGAGAUUUUCGAUCACCAGCCCAUUGAUGUGACAGGACCUGCCAGAGCUUUACGGGUUACCAUCCUAAAAGAAGAAAAAGUAAAUGUUGUUAAGAUCAGUGACUGGAUGCCUGAAAAUGAGCCUACAGCAAUCAUCGGCCAAAGGAUUCCAUCCUCGUUAUCAGAGUUCUCUAGAAAUGAGUCUUAUCAACAGCAAUUGCAGUCCACCUCAGAAUGUGAGUGUCAUUUUAUUGUCGAGCUUGCUGAGCUUGGGGUGUCCAUUAUUGACCAUACGCCUGAGGAGAUAUUAUACCUGUCAGUGCAAAAUCUUCAUUUGGCAUAUUCAACUGGCUUGGGCUCUGGGUUUAGCAGGUUCAAAUUAAGAAUGAGGGGAAUUCAAAUGGAUAACCAGUUGCCAUUAACUCCAACACCAGUUCUCUUCAGGCCACAGAAAAAUGGGAUGGAGAAAGAUUAUAUUCUGAAAAUUUCUGUGACUCUACAGACAAAUGGAUCACUGGAUCUAAGUGUCUAUCCAUAUAUAGGUUUCCAUGGGCCUGAUAAUUCUGCAUUUUUUAUAAACAUUCAUGAACCUAUUAUAUGGCGCAUUCAUGAGAUGAUGCAGCAGGUCAAUCUUAGUAGGUUGUAUGAUACUAAAACUACAGCUGUUUCAGUUGAUCCAAUCAUUCAAAUUGGGGUUCUCAACAUCUCGGAAGUUCAACUGAAAGUGUCGAUGGCUAUGUCACCUAGCCAACGGCCUAGGGGAGUACUUGGUUUUUGGUCAUCCAUAAUGACUGCAUUAGGGAACACUGAGAAUAUGACUGUCAAGAUAAAUCAAAGAUUCCAUGAGAAUGUGUGCAUGAGGCGGAGUACUAUGAUUAAUAAUGCUAUUUCAAACAUAAAAAAGGAUCUUCUUGGUCAACCGCUUCAAUUGCUCUCUGGCCUUGAUAUAUUGGGCAAUGCAAGUAGUGCUCUUGGACAUAUGAGUAAAGGAGUGGCUGCUUUAUCAAUGGAUAAGAAAUUCAUUCAAAGCCGACAGAGACAGGAGAACAAGGGAGUAGAUGACUUAGGUGAUGUUAUUAGAGAAGGGGGUGGCGCACUAGCAAAAGGCCUGUUUAGAGGAGUCACUGGCAUAUUAACAAAGCCUCUUGAAGGUGCAAAAACUUCUGGUGUUGAGGGCUUUGUUCAAGGUGUUGGAAAAGGCAUCAUAGGUGCAGCUGCACAGCCUGUGAGUGGGGUUCUGGAUCUUUUGUCAAAAACUACUGAAGGUGCAAAUGCUGUGAGAAUGAAGAUAGCAUCCGCCAUAGCUUCAGAUGAACAGCUUCUGCGAAGGAGGCUGCCUCGUGUGGUUACUGGUGAUAAUUUACUUCGACCAUAUGAUGAGAACAAAGCAGAAGGACAGGUCAUAUUGCACUUGGCACAAUCAGGUUCUUUCUUUGGCCAGGUCGAUCUAUUCAAAGUUCGUGGAAAAUUUGCAUUAUCAGAUGCAUAUGAAGAUCAUUUCUUGCUACCAAAGGGAAGAAUUGUUAUGGUUACUCAUCGAAGAAUAAUAUUAUUGCAACAAACCUCUAAUAUCACUCAGAGGAAAUUCAAUCCAAUUAGAGAUCCCUGUUUAGUAUUGUGGGAUGUACUGUGGGAUGAUCUAGCAACGAUGGAGUUGACACAAGGAAAGAAAGAUCAACCAAAAGCUCCACCUUCACGGCUCAUACUCUAUCUAAAGACUAGAUCAACAAAUACAAAAGAACAAAUUCGUGUGAUAAAAUGCUGCCAAGAUACUCAUCAGGCUCUUGAAGUUUACUCUUCAAUUGAACGAGCACUGAUCACAUACGGACAAAACCUUUCAAAGGAGCUGCUGAAGAAGAAAGUUACUAAACCAUAUUCACCAGUUACUGAUGGCACUGCCGUUGAAAUGAUUCCAAAAGAAGGGGCUUGCACCUGGUCUCCUCAGCAGGUGCCCACGUCGGUUCCUAUGAGAUCAACUUUUGGCAGCAGCAACAACUAGCAUGGGAAUAAGUGCCAACCGAGAAUUUUCUCUGAGAAUUUAAUAUAAGUUUCCAAGAGUACAACUGAGAGGAAUCCAAAAGUUUCAGCGCAAAUGACACUGAAGCAUCCAUUUUUGACCAUUGAAUGAGCAUCAGCUGAGUGCUACAGAUUUGCUUACUUUAUGUUGCAAAGGCAUUAUUAAAAUGGUUAAUGGAGCAUAUUUGCAGGAUCCUUAGAAAUACAGAUGCUCGUUCUGCCCUAUUCGAAGCCUCCGGGAACAUUGGAUGCUUAUUACCGCGGACAUAGUUGAAUACAAAUAGAUAUUUCUUCAUAGAAAGCAUUUUAUCGCCGCGCAUGCACCAUUCACAUAAAAAAGCUGGUUUUUCUGGCUCAUGAUCAUCUUGGCUGUGAAAUAUAUUCACAAUUGUGAUAUGCUGUGUCAAAGAAGUUCAGGGUUUUGGAUCGAACUGUCCUCGGCCUCUAAUAGAUAAGUUAAAAUUUUGGGGACUUUUGUUUUGCUCAAAUAAAAUGCUUAUUUCCUUGUAUGAAUAACUUGAUUUGUUAUCCGAUUUGCCAUUUGAUUAGUCAUCUUAUGUUAGAAAU